AAAAUCAAGAAAUAUUAAAAGUAAAACAAAUUUUAUCCAAAGUCCAAAAAUUAUCGCAAUAAAGCUAAAAAGUCGUUCUGUGCAAGAUGUGGAUAAAACAGGUUUAUUAAUAGAGCUGAAGGAACAUCAGAAGAUUUAGUUCAAUGAAAGCACAUACUAAUAGAGCAAAUAUCAAGAUAAACUGUUUUGGGACUAUAGGGUUAAAUUUUUGAUUGCUAUAUGAAGUAUAUUGGGACUACGAAAAAAAGAAGAAAAAAUUACACUGACAGUAUUUAUUUUCAUUUAAAG